GAGGGCUUUAUUUAUAGCCUCCUUUUUUUCUGUCACUAUUAGAUAAAUUCUAUGCAAGAAUGUUCUCCAAGGUUUCUCUCUGUUCUUACCCUUCGGCUUCCAGGGCCAGAGGUCUUGCAUUGGCUCUGCUUUGCUCUCUGUUCUCCUGGCCAUCCUCAGACCCAGAGCCACAGGUAAGGUAGGCUGCUUCUUAGCCUUUCUCUUUUCUCCAGCAGACUCGGGGCCCAAAUUGGGACCUUUGUGAGAGAAAAUAAAAACCACCUUCAGAAAGGUGGGGAAUCAGCAGGAUUGGGAAAUGGAAUAAAAGAAGAAGAGUCACAUGACCAUUGCAGUCUACGCAUUGAGGUAAAGAAAGCAGGAAACUGUGACUAAAUGAAGAUCACAGAGCCAGUUGAUCAGUGGGGAAGCUGCAUCUGAAAUCCAGGACUUCUAGAUCCUGGGUCAACUGGAGGGGUCAUGCAUUCUGGAAAAUAAUGCAGAGUGGUACAGGCUGAAGCGGAGCGGAGAGGACACUGUUUCAAGAUUCCUGCGCCAGCUCCUUCGUUGUUAUAGAAGUUGGACUAAAUAAAAGGGUAAUCACAAGCGUACAGAUAACAGGCAGGCAGGAAUGUGAAAAUCAGAGAGAAGAGAGAUGUGCACCAGAAGCUGGAGUAAUGUGCUUUGAAGAUGGAGGAAGGGACCAUAAAUCAAGGAAUGCAGACAGCCUGUAGAAGCUGGGAAAGGCAAGGAUGUGGAUUCACUCGAGUCUCUAGAAGAAACGCAACCCCGCCAACACCUUGAUUUGAGGACGUCUGACCUUCAGAAUGAGAAAAUGAUACAUUUGUGUUGUAAGCCACCCAGUUUGUGAAAUAUGUAUCAACAAUUGAAAACUAGUACAUAGUCAAAUACUCAAUCUCUGUUUUUUUUAGCUUAUCAUUUUCAAUCUCUGUCUCCAACCCACAAACCACAUGCAUCAUAAAUAAAUUAAAAUACCAAAA
rnacentral:lncRNA from 10 species